rnacentral:rRNA from 1 species
CGGAAGACCAAGGGUUCCUGUCCAACGUUAAUCGGGGCAGGGUGAGUCGACCCCUAAGGCGAGGCCGAAAGGCGUAGUCGAUGGGAAACAGGUUAAUAUUCCUGUACUUGGUGUUACUGCGAAGGGGGGACGGAGAAGGCUAUGUUAGCCGGGCGACGGUUGUCCCGGUUUAAGCAUGUAGGCUGAUUGUCCAGGCAAAUCCGGAUAAUCAAGGCUGAGGUGUGAUGACGAGGCACUACGGUGCUGAAGUAACAAAUGCCCUGCUUCCAGGAAAAGCCUCUAAGCAUCAGGUAACAUUAAAUCGUACCCCAAACCGACACAGGUGGUCAGGUAGAGAAUACCAAGGCGCUUGAGAGAACUCGGGUGAAGGAACUAGGCAAAAUGGUGCCGUAACUUCGGGAGAAGGCACGCUGGUGUGUAGGUGAAGUCCCUGCGGAUGGAGCUGAGACCAGUCGAAGAUACCAGCUGGCUGCAACUGUUUAUUAAAAACACAGCACUGUGCAAACACGAAAGUGGACGUAUACGGUGUGACGCCUGCCCGGUGCCGGAAGGUUAAUUGAUGGGGUUAUCCGUAAGGAGAAGCUCUUGAUCGAAGCCCCGGUAAACGGCGGCCGUAACUAUAACGGUCCUAAGGUAGCGAAAUUCCUUGUCGGGUAAGUUCCGACCUGCACGAAUGGCGUAAUGAUGGCCAGGCUGUCUCCACCCGAGACUCAGUGAAAUUGAACUCGCUGUGAAGAUGCAGUGUACCCGCGGCAAGACGGAAAGACCCCGUGAACCUUUACUAUAGCUUGACACUGAACAUUGAGCCUUGAUGUGUAGGAUAGGUGGGAGGCUUUGAAGCGUGGACGCCAGUCUGCGUGGAGCCAACCUUGAAAUACCACCCUUUAAUGUUUGAUGUUCUAACGUUGGCCCCUGACCGGGGUUGCGGACAGUGUCUGGUGGGUAGUUUGACUGGGGCGGUCUCCUCCCAAAGCGUAACGGAGGAGCACGAAGGUUAGCUAAUCCUGGUCGGACAUCAGGAGGUUAGUGCAAUGGCAUAAGCUAGCUUGACUGCGAGCGUGACGGCGCGAGCAGGUGCGAAAGCAGGUCAUAGUGAUCCGGUGGUUCUGAAUGGAAGGGCCAUCGCUCAACGGAUAAAAGGUACUCCGGGGAUAACAGGCUGAUACCGCCCAAGAGUUCAUAUCGACGGCGGUGUUUGGCACCUCGAUGUCGGCUCAUCACAUCCUGGGGCUGAAGUAGGUCCCAAGGGUAUGGCUGUUCGCCAUUUAAAGUGGUACGCGAGCUGGGUUUAGAACGUCGUGAGACAGUUCGGUCCCUAUCUGCCGUGGGCGCUGGAGAAUUGAGGGGGGCUGCUCCUAGUACGAGAGGACCGGAGUGGACGCAUCACUGGUGUUCGGGUUGUCAUGCCAAUGGCACUGCCCGGUAGCUAAAUGCGGAAGAGAUAAGUGCUGAAAGCAUCUAAGCACGAAACUUGCCCCGAGAUGAGUUCUCCCUGAGACUUUAAGUCUCCUGAAGGAACGUUAAAGACGAUGACGUUGAUAGGCCGGGUGUGUAAGCGCAGCGAUGCGUUGAGCUAACCGGUACUAAUGAACCGUGAGGCUUAACCUU